rnacentral:rRNA from 1 species
CCUACGGGACGCAGCAGUGGGGAAUAUUGCACAAUGGGGGAAACCCUGAUGCAGCGACGCCGCGUGAGUGAAGAAGUAUCUCGGUACGUAAAGCUCUAUCAGCAGGGAAGAAAAAAAGUCUUUGGCUUUGGACGGUACCUGACUAAGAAGCCCCGGCUAACUACGUGCCAGCAGCCGCGGUAAUACGUAGGGGGCAAGCGUUAUCCGGAUUUACUGGGUGUAAAGGGAGCGUAGACGGCAGGGCAAGUCUGAUGUGAAAGCCCGGGGCUCAACCCCGGGACUGCAUUGGAAACUGUCAGGCUAGA